GCUGCUUCACUCCAAAUCCCUUCUCGGUGUGGGAGGGAGAACAUUUAAUAAUUGUCGUCCUUAGUCGAAACCAAAGUAGAAUUUUCAAGGACUAUCGCUACAAGUACAUCAACUAAAAGUGAAAUUAGCGAUUGAAACGCCCUCGCUUAAAAUAAGGACUCAAACAAUUCAGGGUUUCCAUAACAGAGUUAAGGAAACUACAGGUGCAGACAUCUUCAUCGCAAUCCAGCUAUACCAUCCUGAGAGCACAAGCAUCUUCUUUUAGUAGCAUCUGAAACAGUCUAUGGACACAAUGAGGACCACACUCAGCGACGAAACUAAUGAACUCGAUGAAAAUUUAGAACUGAGCGAACAAAGGGAGACACGGUGUCGACAGGUCGCGCGGGAGUUGAAGCGUUUAGGAGACGCGCUCGAAAACAGGUAUUUUCGUCCAUUUCAAGUUGUUGAACAAAAUCAAGAGAGGCGUCCUCUUGGACUUAACUUGUUGGAAAUUGCCAGAGAAAUCUUCCGGCGAUAUGUUACGGAACUUUUUGCGAGGAAUAACUGAACUGCGGAAUAAGAAGAAAGAUAUUUCCGAUCCAACUCUCGGGACUGUUUGUGCCGUUGACAACUAUAUCUGAUCAUGACGUUAGAAUUUUGCCGCGCAGCAUUUUCGAUUAUCGUGUGACCAGCUGAAUCAGCAAUUUCGAACAGUCACGAAAGGAGUUUAAAUCACGUAAGAAUAUGGAUGUCGAAACAACUAUCAAGGCCAGUCUGGAAAAACAUCCAUUCCUGGCUUAGAAUAAAGUUUAUCGCGGAAAGGUUCUUAACGGGCUUCGUUUGAAAACGAAGUUAGAAUUGUAUCACGGUUAAGAAUCUCCAUGUGUUUUAGUGCAUAGCUUAUAAUUGGAAUUUUUUUAUCCAUGUUUACCGGCGUGCUAUGACAACGUUAGUUCCCAUUUCAGAGAUCGGUGGCUUUAAGAUAACUAGCAGAAAUAACCACAAAAACAACUAAUGAUAAAACAACAUGCGUUAAAUCCACAAUGUUUUUUUGCUUCCGAGAAAAUAAAACGGCCAACAAUACACGCUUAAUAGCGGUUAUUUAUAGUAAAACAAUUCUUGUCGCCGGUCCCUAAAUUCAAAGUUAGAUGUAAAUACAAAUGAAAAUCACCCGUGUUAGCGACACGUGAUGACAGAAAGUGGAAUUUUCUGGAAACUAAAUAAACAUAUUUAAAAAUAAAAUUUGUAAAAUUA